AUUGUCAUAAAAUCCUUGCUCUAUAAACCUUGGUAUUUUCAUCCAUACUAUAUCUCUAUCCUUGCUAUUUGUCUCUACCUUGUUGCUUGUUUUAAAAGUACUUGUUCUCACCUUCACUCCUUGAUUUGGUAUGCUUUUAGAACCUUUUCUUACCACCUUCUUGCGUCUUUGAAAUAUAAGUUUUAGGAUCUUUACCCUUAACAGGAAGAGAACGAUAGUAUCGCAAGUUGAGUCAAUGUUUGAAGUAUGAAACUUUAAUGCCUUGUUGGUUUGUCAUUAUGCUUAUGCUUGAUUUGGAUCUUUGUAAUGAGUGCAAUGAUCUUGUGGGAUUUCUUCACAAUUUCAUUAGUUUAUAGGCCUAAGGCGUAAGGAUUAAUGAAAUAAGUAGUUGGGUUUGGUUAUAUCUUGUUUCUAUCCCCUGCUGAUUUCUAGAGCAGUCUACGAUGAUUCUGGAGUAUCUCAAGUUUUGAUCGUGCAAAGUCUAUCAACUUUUUCUGGUAACAACUAGACUUCAAGAUCUUUCCCUGACCGCAAGAAGCACCCUCAUAGCUAUUAUGGUUUAGAAGUUACAAAAAUCACAAGAUGAUACAAAUGUGCUGUCAAGAAUCUGGACCAGUUUCGGUUGCUUACUGUUUAGACAUAUAUAACUAUAGAAUUUGGAAAAGUGUUCUAUAGAAAAGUUGUAGAGAAUUUGCUAAGCUUUCCAACGGUAUAAGCUGGAACUUAUUUGGAUAAGUAGAACCUGAGAUAUGAUAUUUACACCUGGAUGUUUCUG
rnacentral:lncRNA from 1 species